rnacentral:rRNA from 1 species
UCAAAGGAAUUGACGGGGACCCGCACAAGCAGUGGAGUAUGUGGUUUAAUUCGAAGCAACGCGAAGAACCUUACCAGGUCUUGACAUCCCUCUGAAUCUGCUAGAGAUAGCAGCGGCCUUCGGGACAGAGGAGACAGGUGGUGCAUGGUUGUCGUCAGCUCGUGUCGUGAGAUGUUGGGUUAAGUCCCGCAACGAGCGCAACCCUUAACU